ACAAUGGGCGCAAGCCUGAUGCAGCCAUGCCGCGUGUAUGAAGUAAGGCCUUCGGGUUGUAAAGUACUUUCAGCAGUGAGGAAGGUGGGUAUGUUAAUAGCAUACUCAUUUGACGUUUAGCUGCAGAAGAAGCACCGGCUAACUCCGUGCCAGCAGCCGCGGUAAUACGGAGGGUGCGAGCGUUAAUCGGAAUUACUGGGCGUAAAGCGCAUGCAGGUGGUUUGUUAAGUCAGAUGUGAAAGCCCGGGGCUCAACCUCGGAAUUGCAUUUUGAAACUGGCAAACUAGAGUACUGUAGAGGGGGUAGGAAUUUCUAGGUGUAGCGGUGAAAUAGCGUAGAGAUCUGAAGGAAUAACCGGUGGCGAAGGCGGCCCCCUCGGACAGAUACUGACACUCAGAUGCGAAAGACGUGGGGAGGCAAACAAGGAUUAGAUACCCUCGGUAG
rnacentral:rRNA from 1 species